AAACGCAGAAGAAAAUUUUGCAUUAGCUGCAUAAGCUACGUCCCUCAUACUUGUGCCUACCAAGUGUGAAUGGACGUCAAACCGUAGGCUGGCUUAAUUCAGUUGUUCAUAUGAAUUAGGUGAGACAAUAUGAACUGGGGUUGUGUAGCUUGUCUGUGAGCGGUAGCAACCUGAGAUCUAAAUCAUAGACUGUGCUCGGAGAAGUCUAUAUGGCAACACUUCUGGACAGGGGUUCGACUCCCCUCAUCUCCACCA
rnacentral:tmRNA from 1 species